UUCCUUGCCCGGUAGGGUUAGGGUAAUCUUUGAAAUCGUGUCGUGCUAGGGAUAGACGAUGCAAUAUCGUCUCAACGAGGAAUUCUAGUAAAUGCAAGUCAUCAGCUUGCGUUGAUUACGUCCUGCCCUUUGUACACACCGCCCGUCGCUCCUACCGAUUGAGUGAUCCGGUGAGCUGUCCGGACUGCGAUUAGUUCAGUUUCUGUUCUCUUCGCGGGAAGUUCUGCAAACCUUAUCACUUAGAGGAAGGAGAAGUCGUAACAAGGUUUCCGUAGGUGAACCUGCGGAAGGAUCAUUC
rnacentral:ncRNA from 1 species